AACUUUCAACAACGGAUCUCUUGGUUCAGGCAUCGAUGAAGAACGCAGCGAAAUGCGAUAAGUAGUGUGAAUUGCAGAAUUCAGUGAAUCAUCGAAUCUUUGAACGCACAUUGCGCCCUUUGGUAUUCCAAAGGGCAUGCCUGUUCGAGCGUCAUUUGUACCCUCAAGCU
rnacentral:rRNA from 1 species